rnacentral:rRNA from 1 species
AGCGAACGCUGGCGGCAGGCCUAACACAUGCAAGUCGAACGAAGUCUUCGGACUUAGUGGCGGACGGGUGAGUAACACGUGGGAACGUACCUUUUGGUUCGGAACAACUCAGGGAAACUUGAGCUAAUACCGGAUGAGCCCUUAGGGGGAAAGAUUUAUCGCCGAAAGAGCGGCCCGCGUUAGAUUAGCUAGUUGGUGAGGUAAAGGCUCACCAAGGCUACGAUCUAUAGCUGGUCUGAGAGGAUGAUCAGCCACACUGGACUGAGACACGGCCCAGACUCCUACGGGAGGCAGCAGUGGGGAAUCUUGCGCAAUGGGCGAAAGCCUGACGCAGCCAUGCCGCGUGAAUGAUGAAGGUCUUAGGAUUGUAAAAUUCUUUUACCAGGGACGAUAAUGACGGUACCUGGGGAAAAAGCCCCGGCUAACUUCGUGCCAGCCGCCGCCGUAAGAC